AUUCAAGAGCGACAUCCAACAAAACAAGGAUUGAAAC
rfam:Candidatus Methanoperedens nitroreducens strain ANME-2d ANME2D_Contig_1.1, whole genome shotgun sequence.